rnacentral:rRNA from 1 species
GACGAACGCUGGAGGCGUGCUUAACACAUGCAAGUCGAACGAUGAAAUGGAGCUUGCUCCAUGGAUUAGUGGCGAACGGGUGAGUAACACGUGAGUAACCUGCCCUUAAUUUUGGAAUAACCCAGGGAAACCUGGGCUAAUACCGGAUAAGUAAACCUGUGGCAUCCCAAGGUUUUGGAACGUUUUUCGAUUAAGGAUGGAUUCGCGGCCUAUCAGCUUGUUGGUGAGGUAAUGGCUCACCAAGGCGACGACGGGUAGCCGGCCUGAGAGGGUGAACGGCCACACUGGGACUGAGACACGGCCCAGACUCCUACGGGAGGCAGCAGUGGGGAAUAUUGCGCAAUGGACGAAAGUCUGACGCAGCGACGCCUCGUGAGGGACGAAGGUCUUCGGAUUGUAAACCUCUUUCAGCAGGGACGAAGCGAAAGUGACGGUACCUGCAGAAGAAGCACCGGCUAACUAUGUGCCAGCCGCCGCCGUAA